rnacentral:rRNA from 1 species
ACAGAGGUCUCGAGCGUUGCUCGGAUUCAUUGGGCGUAAAGGGUGCGUAGGUGGUGUGGCAAGUCGGAUGUGAAAUCCCGGGGCUCAACCUCGGAACUGCAUUCGAUACUGCCGUGCUAGAGUACUGGAGAGGAGAUCGGAAUUUACGGUGUAGCAGUGAAAUGCGUAGAUAUCGUAAGGAAGACCAGUGGCGAAGGCGGAUCUCUGGACAGUUACUGACACUGAGGCACGAAGGCCAGGGGAGCAAACGGGA